GAUGAAGAACGCAGCGAAUUGCGAUAUGUAAUGUGAAUUGCAGAAUUCAGUGAAUCAUCGAAUCUUUGAACGCACAUUGCGCCCCCUGGUAUUCCGGGGGGCAUGCCUGUCCGAGCGUCAUUACAACCCUCAAGCUCAGCUUGGUGUUGGGCCCCGCCGCCCCGGCGGGCCCUAAAGUCAGUGGCGGUGCCGUCCGGCUCCGAGCGUAGUAAUUCUUCUCGCUCUGGAGGUCCGGUCGUGUGCUCGCCAGCAACCCCCAAUUUUUUUCAGGUUGACCUCGGAUCAGGUAGGGAUACCCGCUGAACUUAAGCAUAUCAAUAAGCGGAGGA
rnacentral:misc_RNA from 1 species